rnacentral:rRNA from 1 species
UGGGGAAUAUUGCACAAUGGGCGAAAGCCUGAUGCAGCCAUGCCGCGUGUGUGAAGAAGGCCUUCGGGUUGUAAAGCACUUUCAGCGAGGAGGAAAGGGUAAGUCUUAAUACGGCUUACCUGUGACGUUACUCGCAGAAGAAGCACCGGCUAACUCCGUGCCAGCAGCCGCGGUAAUACGGAGGGUGCGAGCGUUAAUCGGAAUUACUGGGCGUAAAGCGCAUGCAGGCGGCUGAUUAAGCCAGAUGUGAAAGCCCGGGGCUUAACCUCGGAAUUGCAUUUGGAACUGGUCAGCUAGAGUUCUUGAGAGGGUGGUAGAAUUUCAGGUGUAGCGGUGAAAUGCGUAGAGAUCUGAAGGAAUACCGGUGGCGAAGGCGGCCACCUGGCAAGUAACUGACGCUCAGAUGCGAAAGCGUGGGGAGCAAACAGGAUUAGAUACCCCCGUAGUCC